rnacentral:rRNA from 1 species
UGAGUACGAGACGCUAAGGCGUCGAAGUAGUGGAUGUCAUACUUCCAAGAAAAGCUUGCACUGUCAUAAGUAAAAAACGCCUGUACCAUAACCGACACAGGGGUAGGUAGAGUAUACUAAGGGGCGCGAGAUAACUCUCUCUAAGGAACUCGGCAAAAUAACUCCGUAACUUCGGGAGAAGGAGUGCCUUAUUCGUAAGGCUGCAAUAACAAGAUCCAAGCAACUGUUUAUCAAAAACACAGGUCUCCGCUAAGUCGUAAGACGAUGUAUGGGGGCUGACGCCUGCCCAGUGCCAGAAGGUUAAAGAAGUCGGUUAGCAUUAGCGAAGCUGGUAACUGAAGCCCUGGUGAACGGCGGCCGUAACUAUAACGGUCCUAAGGUAGCGAAAUUCCUUGUCGGGUAAGUUCCGACCCGCACGAAAGGCGUAAUGAUUUGGAUACUGUCUCGGAGAGGGGCUCGGUGAAAUAGACUUGUCUGUGAAGAUGCGGACUACCUGCACCAGGACAGAAAGACCCUAUGAAGCUUUACUGUAACUUGAAAUUGAAAUUGGACUUUAUUCGCGCAGUAUAGGUGGGAGGUGUUGAUUAUAAUCUUGCGGGAUUAUUGGAGCCAUCAGUGAGAUACCACUCUUGUAAUGUUAGAUUUCUAACUUUGAAUCAUUAUCUGGUCAAAGAACAGUUUCAGGCGGGCAGUUUGACUGGGGCGGUCGCCUCCUAAAUGGUAACGGAGGCGUACAAAGGUUUCCUCUGAACGGGUAGAAAUCGUAUCUAGAGUGUAAAGGCAUAAGGAAGCUUGACUGUGAGACCUACAAGUCGAGCAGGGACGAAAGUCGGUCUUAGUGAUCUGACGGUACUGAGUGGAAAGGCCGUCACUCAACGGAUAAAAGUUACUCUAGGAUAACAGGCUGAUCUCCCCCAAGAGUUCACAUCGACGGGGAGGUUUGGCACCUCGAUGUCGGCUCAUCGCAUCCUGGGGCGGUAGUACGUCCCAAGGGUUGGGCUGUUCGCCCAUGAAAGCGGUACGCGAGCUGGGUUCAGAACGUCGUGAGACAGUUCGGUCCAUAUCCGGUGUAGGCGUUAGAAUAUUGAGAGGAGCCUUCUUUAGUACGAGAGGACCGAGAAGGACAUACCUCUGGUGUACCAGUUAUCGUGCCAACGGUAAACGCUGGGUAGCUAUGUAUGGAGUGGAUAACCGCUGAAAGCAUCUAAGUGGGAAGCCCACCUCAAGAUAAGUAUUCACAU